GUGAUGUUAUGAGUGAUGUGAGGAAUGAUGUUAUGAGUGAUGUGAGGAAUGAUGUUAUGAGUGAUGUGAGGAGUGAUGUUAUGAGUGAUGUGAGGAAUGAUGUUAUGAGUGAUGAUAUGAGUGAUGUGAGGAAUGAUGUUAUGAGUGAUGAUAUGAGUGAUGUGGGGAAUGAUGUUAUGAGUGAUGUGAGGAAGGAUAUGAGUGAUGUGAGGAAUGAUGAUAUGAGUGAUGUGAGGAAUGAUGUUAUGAAUGAUGUUAUAAAUAAGUGGACUCAGUGAGAAGAGUGAAAUUAGUGACAUUAUGGUGCUAAAGUACGAAUGUUUGUGUAAAGAUGUGUUACACGUAUAAUAUUGUUAAAAUAAAAUAAUAUUUCAGUGA